rnacentral:snRNA from 1 species
GGGUGUCAGGGUGAUCCGGCUAUGACAGCCAUCACCCCAUUGAUCGCCAACGCUGAUUCAACUGAGCUGGCUGGCUAAGCAGGUGUCCUUUAUGCCCUCAGGUGCAUCCUUACCAAAGCUGCUCACUCAGCCAAAGAGGAUGACCACCCCGGGCAGAGGAGAACUAUUUCCUCUGUCAAUGAUGUACGAGUAGAUGCGCUCCCCUGCUAGAGCCUCUAAACAAGCUCUCAAGACUUGAAAUGGACAGAGCUUAAAAAGCAGCACUGGAUCCAACUGUGAAGCCUGUU